UCACAAGCCUCUGCUAAUGUGUACAUAGUUUCAGGGUAGCCCCCAAAAUAUUGGAACAUAUAAAAAAAAAAGACAACUCUGUUCCGCAGAGUAGCUGUUGACAUUAUAGUUUCGCAGGCGCUUUGUUGACUCUAGAGAACCUCAGGCCAAUCGCACAUCCCCAUGACGGUGACUUUGCAUUCGGAUGUCAUCCAUAUCAACUUUCGAUGCUAGUUUCUGCGCCUACCAUGGUGACCACGGGUAACGGGGAAUCAGGGUUCUAUUCCGUACAAGGACCCUGAGAAAUGGCUACCACAUACAAGGAAGGCAGCAGGCGCGCAAAUGACCCACUACCGACGCAGGAAGGUAGUGACGA